GCGGCAGAAUCAGUGGAAGAAUCAGCAGUGAAGCUGUUAAACAUGAAAGUAAAAGCAAUGACUCCAAGCUGAAAUAGUUUGCUGGUAAUAAUUUUCUUGAGCUUCCUUGUGAGAAUGAUCUGUUGUAGAACUCUAUUUUCUUUUUCUCUAACGGAGGAACGUUGUGAUUCAGAGCUGGUUUUCUUUUUCUUGGAUCCAUUGUAAGAUUUUUUGAACAAUGAUCUUCAAGAUUGAUUAUUGGUUUUGGUAGCCUCAGAUUUGAUCCAGAAACUUCAAUAGCUCUCAUUUAAAAAUGGUUCCCUCCUGCCAAGUUUUCUUCUUUAGAAGAACCCAACAGCAGGAUUCAGAUUCCAGCUGCAGACCGAUUCAAAUGGCAAAACCCAGAGGGG
rnacentral:lncRNA from 1 species